rnacentral:rRNA from 15 species
CAGGUCUGUGAUGCCCUUAGAUGUUCUGGGCCGCACGCGCGCUACACUGGUACACGCAACGAGUCUAUCACCUUGGUCGGCAGGCCCGGGUAAUCUGUGAACGUGUACCGUGAUUGGGAUAGAUUGUUGCAAUUUUCAAUCUUGAACGAGGAAUUCCUAGUAAACGCAGAUCAUCAAUCUGCAUUGAUUACGUCCCUGCCCUUU